UACGUAGGGUGCAAGCGUUGUCCGGAAUUAUUGGGCGUAAAGAGCUUGUAGGCGGUUUGUCGCGUCUGCUGUGAAAUUUCGGGGCUUAACCCCGAACUUGCAGUGGGUACGGGCAGACUAGAGUGUGGUAGGGGAGACUGGAAUUCCUGGUGUAGCGGUGAAAUGCGCAGAUAUCAGGAGGAACACCGAUGGCGAAGGCAGCUCGCUGGGACGGUACUGACGCUGAGGAGCGAAAGCGUGGGUAGCAAACAGG
rnacentral:rRNA from 1 species